rnacentral:lncRNA from 1 species
UUAACUUUGGGUCUAGUUUAACACCUAGAUCAUCAACCAAUGUAAUUCUCUCAAGAGAACUACCGCAGAGGGUGUAAGAAGCCAGGAAGGGGCUGGAGCGACAAAAAGUCAUUACAUUGCACUUCGAGGCAUUAAGUUGUAACAUAUUUGCACAGCACCAUGACUGAAAGCUAUUGAGAUCAGAUUGCAAACGAGAGUGAAAUGAAAUGUCCUUAUACUGGACACAUCAUCCGCAUACAUAAGUACUCGAGAAUUUGUUAAUACAGAAGGCAGGUCAUUAAUAAAGAGUGUGAAAAGUAAGGGGCCUAAAUGGCUACCCUGUGGUACUCCAGAAGUAACCAUAACAGGUAAAGAUACGGAGUUUUCGAAAAGGACCCUUUGAGACCUAGAACACAGGUAGCUAGAAAUCCAUCUCAACAGAUUGGGCGGAAACCCU